rnacentral:rRNA from 1 species
UACGUAGGGGGCAAGCGUUGUCCGGAAUCAUUGGGCGUAAAGCGCGUGUAGGCGGCCCGAUAAGUCCGCUGUGAAAGUCCAGGGCUCAACCCUGGGAUGCCGGUGGAUACUGUCGGGCUCGAGUCCGGAAGAGGCGAGUGGAAUUCCCGGUGUAGCGGUGAAAUGCGCAGAUAUCAGGAGGAACACCGGUGGCGAAGGCGGAUCUCUGGGCCUUACCUGACGCUGAGGCGCGAAAGCUAGGGGAGCGAACAGG